CUCUUUACCCCUCAAUGGAUUUGUAUUUAUAGAAAAUCUGAACUGAAAUUUGGUAUUGAAGAAGAACAAAAAUAAUUGAACAAACAGAACAGAUAUGAUACAUAAUACAUAAGAAAAAUAAUUAUAGCUACUUAAAAUUAACAUUUCAAUUGGUUAGAAACGAACAACACGUAGAUAGGGAGAUAGUGGAUGAUGAACUGGAUGCAUGUAUACGGGAGUCUCAAGAGAGAGAGGAUUGUCUCACUCCUGUCACUUUAGCGAUUAACGUUGCACGUUAGACGUUUUACAAGACACGGUCAGACUAUUAACGAACGCUUUAAUAACGUCUAAUAACGUGGUGUGUAAUGCUCACACGGAGAUAUUAUUUUCAAAUGUUGCAAUUGCAUGAUACCAUCCUUUCAAUAGACUACAGUCUCUAUCAUGAAACUGAUAAUUCAGUCACUGUAUGACAAAUUUGGUGGUCGAGGUUCUUAAGUGGUUCGUAACACGGGAAUGGACGGGAAGAGACGGUGUGAUGGAGCACCCAGAUUCUUGGCAAGCAGUAGGUCAUCUGCGACUAGAACGAAGAGUUUUCACUUUCAUCGUGACCGAGGGAAUGCCUACUUACUUAGAUGCGCAACAGACAAAGGCGUCACGGCGCGAAGAAGCCGGCUAACUAUGACACGCAACUUCGACAGAGGAUCGGAUAUUCAUAACCUUCCAUUGAAUUCGCGCACUCGUGCGAACUCUACGUUCCACUUGGCCUAUUCCUCUCGCCACCUUGAUGUGAAAACGCAGCCAACAUCCAUAAGAUUUGACCGUUACACCUGGUCGCUGGAACGCCUAAUACUCAUGGUCAUAAUUCAUCUGACACAUUUGGAAAUCUGGUUUCCCCUUUGAUGCGUUUAUAUGGUCAGAGGUGAAUGAUGGUGAACACAAGGAUGUAGCUAUUUAUAGGAAAUGUCUUCACUGAAAAAUUGCUUUAUAUAUGGGAAAUUGGAAGCUCUGAAAGAUUUGAGGACUUACAAAGCUUUGGAGAUCAGAAUUUUAGGGAUUCAAACGUCGAAACUCAAAAUUUUAGAGAGCUAGCUAUGAUAUCAGGAAAUUCAAUUUCGAAACUCUAUAUUUUGGAAAAUGUUAGUUAAUAGUUAUAUCGCGCUAUUGUCGCGUCACAGCUCGUUAUAAGCUUAAUUAGGGUAAUGAUGGGUAGAUAGUAAUUAUCAUAAUGAUACUGGCAAAUUAUUUUCUAACUGGCGAUUUCUCGAUUUUAGAUCUUCUCAGGAAGAUUUCGUCAAUUUUACACUUUCAAGUUCUACAUUUAACAGAUAUUUCAAUUUCAGGAAUGUUGAUUAUAUAUUAAAAGGUAUCCAUUACCGAUGUAAUGGCAAGUACUAUGAGAUUUACUACGUUCUGUAAUGAUGCUGUCUAAUGAUGAUCUUAAACAAGCGUGUCCCCGUUUCAACAUGGUACACCAUGAAAAUCAUCAGUUUCCUUUUUCAUACACGAUAAUCAAGUGGGUAUUUUGACAUUGACAUUUAACCAUUAAUGGUGUAACUGUUAACUUUGCAGACUAAUGCAUCACAUAAUUUAUACAACUUCCAUUGGAUAAGUUAAUCACUUUUUAUAAUAAUUUCUAAAAUAUGUUAUAUAUUGCAUCCUAUAUUCUUAUAAUAAUAUGUUUUACACCAUACAAACCUAAUACUAUAAAUUUAAUCGGGAAGAUCAAGUCAUUGGAAAUUAUCAAAAUCUUUGAAAUUUCUACAAUACAAAUCUCCAUGCUGAAAAAUUUUGUAGAAUCCAAAAAUCCUCUAAAUCUCAAAACUUUGUAUAGUUACGCUGUUCAACAUUUACAAUUUUACUUACACUCAUUGCUAUCUAUUCUGUUAUUCAAUUGAUACCUCUAUUCAAAUACCCACAACAUAAAUAGCAUUUAAACGUCAAUUAGAACAAGAAAAUGAACGCAAUCUUUCUUCUGAAUCUGCUCGACUGUUUCAUCAUUGGCUCCUGUACAGUUCCUCUUUUAUUCUCCUGGCCAAAUCCAUGAAAUGAGCCCACAAGGGUUUUCCAAGCGUAGCAACAGCUCACGUGGAGCAUCUCAACAACUUUAACAACCUUAGCACUCCUUUUUCUUUCUGCCAUCUCAUAUAAUAGGACAUCUUCAUCACGCAACUUCUUGCGCGCCCGUUUGCACUUCUGUUUUCUA